rnacentral:lncRNA from 1 species
CCUUCCCUUACCUUUUCUUCUCUUUAAAUAUUUAGUAUUAGUGCAAGGGGGCCUUCUUUCUUGAAGUUGUAAUGGCACAAGAGGACGAUUCUAGGCUUCAGAUAAGCAAACAAACCUGUGCUCCCUUUUUCCAGUUGUAGCAACUCAAGUCCGUAAGCGGGUUCAACUUAAAAUCCAAGGUUUUCUCGAAUCAAUAAAAAGAUAAUAAUAAGGUCAAAUCUUGCUAUUCCACCUUUCGCUGCUAGUUAGUGGUCUGGUGGUAAUGAAAUUAAAAAUUCGU